UACGAAGGGGGCUAGCGUUGCUCGGAAUCACUGGGCGUAAAGCGCACGUAGGCGGCUUCUUAAGUCAGGGGUGAAAUCCUGGAGCUCAACUCCAGAACUGCCUUUGAUACUGAGGAGCUUGAGUCCGGGAGAGGUGAGUGGAACUGCGAGUGUAGAGGUGAAAUUCGUAGAUAUUCGCAAGAACACCAGUGGCGAAGGCGGCUCACUGGCCCGGUACUGACGCUGAGGUGGCGAAAGCGUGGGGAGCAAACAGG
rnacentral:rRNA from 1 species